GAUGAACGCUGGCGGCGUGCCUAAUACAUGCAAGUCGAGCGAACGGACGAGAAGCUUGCUUCUCUGAUGUUAGCGGCGGACGGGUGAGUAACACGUGGAUAACCUACCUAUAAGACUGGGAUAACUUCGGGAAACCGGAGCUAAUACCGGAUAAUAUUUUGAACCGCAUGGUUCAAAAGUGAAAGACGGUCUUGCUGUCACUUAUAGAUGGAUCCGCGCUGCAUUAGCUAGUUGGUAAGGUAACGGCUUACCAAGGCAACGAUGCAUAGCCGACCUGAGAGGGUGAUCGGCCACACUGGAACUGAGACACGGUCCAGACUCCUACGGGAGGCAGCAGUAGGGAAUCUUCCGCAAUGGGCGAAAGCCUGACGGAGCAACGCCGCGUGAGUGAUGAAGGUCUUCGGAUCGUAAAACUCUGUUAUUAGGGAAGAACAUAUGUGUAAGUAACUGUGCACAUCUUGACGGUACCUAAUCAGAAAGCCACGGCUAACUACGUGCCAGCAGCCGCGGUAAUACGUAGGUGGCAAGCGUUAUCCGGAAUUAUUGGGCGUAAAGCGCGCGUAGGCGGUUUUUUAAGUCUGAUGUGAAAGCCCACGGCUCAACCGUGGAGGGUCAUUGGAAACUGGAAAAUUUGAGUGCAGAAGAGGAAAGUGGAAUUCCAUGUGUAGCGGUGAAAUGCGCAGAGAUAUGGAGGAACACCAGUGGCGAAGGCGACUUUCUGGUCUGUAACUGACGCUGAUGUGCGAAAGCGUGGGGAUCGAACAGGAUUAGAUACCCUGGUAGUCCACGCCGUAAACGAUGAGUGCUAAGUGUUAGGGGGUUUCCGCCCCUUAGUGCUGCAGCUAACGCAUUAAGCACUCCGCCUGGGGGGUACGACCGCAAGGUUGAAACUCAAAGGAAUUGACGGGGACCCGCACAAGCGGUGGAGCAUGUGGUUUAAUUCGAAGCAACGCGAAGAACCUUACCAAAUCUUGACAUCCUUUGACAACUCUAGAGAUAGAGCCUUCCCCUUCGGGGGACAAAGUGACAGGUGGUGCAUGGUUGUCGUCAGCUCGUGUCGUGAGAUGUUGGGUUAAGUCCCGCAACGAGCGCAACCCUUAAGCUUAGUUGCCAUCAUUAAGUUGGGCACUCUAAGUUGACUGCCGGUGACAAACCGGAGGAAGGUGGGGAUGACGUCAAAUCAUCAUGCCCCUUAUGAUUUGGGCUACACACGUGCUACAAUGGACAAUACAAAGGGCAGCGAAACCGCGAGGUCAAGCAAAUCCCAUAAAGUUGUUCUCAGUUCGGAUUGUAGUCUGCAACUCGACUACAUGAAGCUGGAAUCGCUAGUAAUCGUAGAUCAGCAUGCUACGGUGAAUACGUUCCCGGGUCU
rnacentral:rRNA from 1 species